GGCCUGAACACCCAAAAUAGCUCUUUAUGAAGUUAGCGGCGGACGGGUGAGUAACACGUGGGUAACCUGCCCAUAAGACUUGGAAAACUCCGGGAAACCGGGGCUAAUACCGGAUAACAUUUUGUACCGCAUGGUUCGAAAUUGAAAGGCGGCUUCGGCUGUCACUUAUGGAUGGACCCGCGUCGCAUUAGCUAGUCCGUGAGGUAACGGUGCAUGAAGGCAACGAUGCGUAGCCGACCUGAGAGGGUGAUCGGCCACACUGGGACUGAGACACGGCCCAGACUCCUACGGGAGGCAGCAGUAGGGAAUCUUCCGCAAUGGACGAAAGUCUGACGGAGCAACGCCGCGUGAGUGAUGAAGGCUUUCGGGUCGUAAAACUCUGUUGUUAGGGAAGAACAAGUGCUAGUUGAAUAAGCUGGCACCUUGACGGUAUCUAACCAGAAAGCCACGGCUAACUACGAGCCAUCAUCCGCGGUAAUACGUAGGUGGCAAGCGUUAUCCGGAAUUAUUUGGGCGUAAAGCGCGCGCAGGUGGUUUCUUAAUUCUGAUGUGAAAGCCCACGGCUCAACCGUGGAAGGGUCAUUGGGAAACUGGGGAAAACUUGAGU
rnacentral:rRNA from 1 species